rnacentral:rRNA from 1 species
CUACGGGUGGCAGCAGCCGAGAAUAUUCCACAAUGGGCGAAAGCCUGAUGGAGCGACGCCGCGUGCAGGAAGAAGUUCUUCGGAAUGUAAACUGCUUUUAUGAGGGAAAAACUUUGAUAUUACCUCAUGAAUAAGGGGUUGCUAAAGCUCGUGCCAGCAGCAGCGGUAAUACGAGUACCCCAAGCGUUAUCCGGAUUUAUUGGGCGUAAAGCGUCUGUAGUUGGUUUAGAUAGUCAGGUGACAAAGCCCGAUGCUCAACAUCGGAUCUUCACUUGAAACGUCUAAACUAGAGCAUGUAAGAGGCAAACGGAACUUACGGUGUAGGAGUGAAAUCCGUUGAUAUCGUAGGGAACACCAAAAGCGAAGGCAGUUUGCUGGGACAUUGCUGACAAUGAGAGACGAAAGCGUGGGUAGCGAAUGGGAUUAGAUACCCCUGUAGUC